rnacentral:rRNA from 1 species
AGAGUUUGAUCAUGGCUCAGGAUGAACGCUGGCGGCGUGCCUAAUACAUGCAAGUCGAACGGGGAGUAGUAAUACUUCUAGUGGCGAACGGGUGAGUAACGCGUGGGUGACCUGCCCCGAAGAGUGGGAUAACAGUUCGAAAGGACUGCUAAUACCGCAUGAGGUUCCCGGGUUUAGAAACCGGGAACGAAAGCAGCGAUGCGCUUCGGGAGGGGCCUGCGUCCCAUCAGCUAGUUGGUAAGGUAACGGCCUACCAAGGCGACGACGGGUAGGGGGCCUGAGAGGGUGAUCCCCCACACUGGCACUGAAACACGGGCCAGACACCUACGGGUGGCAGCAGUAGGGAAUAUUGCACAAUGGGCGCAAGCCUGAUGCAGCAACGCCGCGUGCGCGAUGAAGGCCUUCGGGUCGUAAAGCGCUUUUCUGGGAGACGAGGAAGGACGGUAUCCCAGGAAGAAGGCUCGGCUAACUACGUGCCAGCAGCCGCGGUAAUAC